rnacentral:misc_RNA from 1 species
GCAGAAGGAUCAUUAGUGAAGAUUUGGGCAGGCCAUACGGACACCAAAAAGUGUCCCUGGCCGCCUACACCCACUAUACAUCCACAAACCCGUGUGCACUGUCUUGGAGAAAGGCUUCAGAGAAGUUUUUUGUGGCCUCUCUUGGGGUCUUUCUCCGCUACAAACUCGAAUGGUUAGUAUGAACGUGGAACUUGGUUGGACCGUCACUGGCCAACAAACUAUACACAACUUUCGACAACGGAUCUCUUGGUUCUCCCA